UCGGGGAGCUCAGAUUUUAAGACAGUAGCUUGCUGAUGCUCCCAGCUGAAUAAAGCCCUUCCUUCUACAACUCGGUGUCUGAGGGGUUUUGUCUGCAGCUCGUCCUGCUACAAUGGUGGUUCCUUUAUAGAGUCCAUCUGCUCACUACAUGUGAUUCAAGCCUAGCUCGAAAGAUAGGCAAGUGAUGACUUAGGACACUGUCAAUGGCAUGAGACUUCUUUCCAAGCUAUCAGAAGACCGCCUUCUUUUCCCACUGCUACUGCCAGGAUAUUCAUGAUUCCCUACCUUGAAUCAAUGCCGCCAUCUUCCUUUUAACUCAGGGACUAUGAGAUACACAGGUCUUCAAUGCCAGUCACCUCAUGGACUCACCACCUAGUUUAUCAAGGAGAAGUUGAUGCUGGGAGCAACUACAAAAAUGAAGCUACUCUGAUUUAGGUGGCACAGAAAAGCAGGCGAGGGUUUCUCCCUCCUGUCUCAUUUGAUCAUUUUUCAUGCUUUACCUGUGCUUCUAGGGGCCAAUCUAUCUUUUUUUUUUUUUUUCUGCCUUCUCUGCUUUAAAUGUUCCCAGUUCUGUCUGGAACUUGUCUUUGAACAAAGAAAGAUUUACUUCUUUCUUGAUUCUUUUAUUCCCCUCAUUUUUGUUUAUUCUCUUCCUGGCUCUUAGAGCUUUUCUCUUAACAUUGUGACUGGUGUAUCUAUUUUCUUCAUCUCUCACCUCCUGCCCAUGAACUUAUUUAUGAGGAAAUGUGUAGGAUAAUAGAGCAACAAUUUGGCUUAAAGGGCUCUAGCUGUGUGACCCUAGGCACAUCAGUCAACUCCUUAUAAACAACAGGUUUCUUUUCUCUAAAAUGAGGAUGUUAGAUUCUAUUAUCUCAGUAGUUCAUCUCAGCACUAAUUUUCUAUGAUUCCUUUUCUCACAGUGCUGUCUACCUUGCAAGCCCAGUACAUGUAUAUUAGUUCCCUAUUGCUGCUGUAACAAAUUGCCACCAGCUUAAUGGUUUAAAGCAAGGCAAAUUUGUUAUUUUAUAUUUCUGUAGAUCAGACAUCUGGCACGGUGCCCUUGUGCUAAAAUUAGAGUGCUGACAAGCCUAUGGUUCUUUCUGGAGCCUUCAGGGAAGAAUUGGUUACCUUGCGUUUUCCAGCUUUUGAGAGCACCUGCAUCCCUUGGGUCAUGCCCUUUUCCUCCAUUUUCAAAGUCCAAAACAGGAUGUCAAGUCCUUCUUUCUUUGCAUCUCUUUGAACAACUGUAGCCAAAAAGAUUCUCCAUUCUAAGGACUCCUGUGAUUUGAUUGGGAGCCUCUACAUCAUUCAGGAGAAUCCUCUGACCUCAAGUUCUGUAACCUGAAUCACAUCAUAAGGUAAUCUAUUCAUAGGUUCUGGGGAUUCGCGUGUGGGAAUCUUGGCAGGCAAUGAUUUUCUGCAUUCCAUAAUGAUACGGAAGAGCUAGGCUCCUGGCUAAACCCCACCUUUAAGCCUCGGAUGGUGACCAUAAGUGAAAACAUCUGACCCCAUUUUUCUGCCCAAAUGUUGCCUUUUUGGCCCAGUCUGCCCCUAUUCUGUGCCCACAACAGACUUCAGCUGGCAGAGCAACACAAGCAGCUGAAUAUCAAGAGGUGAAGAAGCAACUGGGCAUCUGAGACUAUGGAUAGAUGCGACUUAACUUCAGACGGCACAACUUUGGAGAGGAGCCCAGAUGGAGACGACCAGGCUUCAAGGAAAGAUCACCUUCUUCUUGCACCCCCCUUUCAGCUCCCCUUCUGCUGAGAGCUACUUCCACUGCCUAAUAAAAUCCUCUGCAUCAUCACCUUUCAAACCAUUCGUGCGACCUGAUUCUUCCUGGAUGCCGAACAAGAACCUGGGAACCAAGAGGGCAGAGUAUUAGGCUGUCACCCUGACUCUCCACUAAGCUGGUUAACACUUAGCUGCCAUGGACAGCAACUCCUAAAAGAGCAUUAAUUUUAUCACACCCCUAGACGCUGCCAGGGGGCUGGAGCCCAAAAGCAUUUGCCCCAGCUCCAACACCCACUUGCCUGUGUGCUCCCUCCCGUGAGGGGUUGAGCCCAGUGGGUUUGAGUGAGUGAAGUUCAUCCCUGUUGGCAGCAAAGUGGCAGGCUGAACCCAGAGCCAGUGCACUCUAGUUCCCAUCUGCAAAAGGGUCAAAGGAACUCUCCUGUCUCAACAACAUAUUACUGACUAACACAAGCAUCUUAUGCCUGGUAGCAUCAAAUUAAGCAAAGAGAAGGUAUGGCUCACCUGAGGACCUUCUGACCUGCUUCAGGGAAAGGUCAAAAGUUUCUUCCUAGGUUUUAUGACCUGUUUCAGUGGAGAAGGGUAGCCCGAAUGCCAUGUCUUCACAUUUUAUUCCACUUGGAUCUCCUGUAGAAUGGCUGUUUACCAUGGAAGGGCUGAUUCCAAUUCUCACGUUAAUCACUUACAAGGCAGAAACCAGCUAGUCUAGACUGGUAAAGGGCUUUCCAGUUCAUUCAUCAGCCUCCUCUGAUUCUCUCAGGGCUCAUUCAGAUGUUCCCAAUCCUUUCACAAGAUUACAAUUCAACACAUAUGGAAGCACAAAAAAAAAUGCUGAUUUCCCCACAUAAAUAAUAAUUAAUUACUAAUGAAGAUAAUGGUGACAGACUAUGGGACUUAAGAAAAAACCUACGAGGAUGUAUCACAAGACAAAUCCUUCUAAAAAUUAAACUAUUUGCAGACAAUCAGAAAGUCAAAACUAACAAUCUCUUAAACAUUUCUCAGAUAUGGCUGUAAUAACAUAGCAUUCCUAUAAAAAUGAACUUUUAGGUUAAAUAUAUCUUUACACAUACAUGCACUUGCACCCACAUGUACACACAAUCUAUUUUUGGAUCUACUGAAUAAAGCAUCAUUAUUUAAAGUGAAGCAAUAAAAGUUUCAACGUCUUUUUUUCUAAGUAUUAGCCUUGAAGUUAUUCACCCUAACCAAA
rnacentral:lncRNA from 10 species